rnacentral:rRNA from 1 species
GACGAACGCUGGCGGCGUGCUUAACACAUGCAAGUCGAACGGUGAAGCGCCUUCCUUUUUGGUGGGUGUGGAUGAGUGGCGAACGGGUGAGUAACACGUGAGUAACCUGCCCCCUUCUUCUGGAUAACCGCAUGAAAGUGUGGCUAAUACGGGAUAUUCUGGGUCUGUCGCAUGAUGGGUCUGGGAAAGAUAUUGUUUCGGUGGGGGAUGGGCUCGCGGCCUAUCAGCUUGUUGGUGGGGUGAUGGCCUACCAAGGCGGUGACGGGUAGCCGGCCUGAGAGGGUGGACGGUCGCACUGGGAAUGAGACACGGCCCAGACUCCUACGGGAGGCAGCAGUGGGGAAUAUUGCACAAUGGGCGAAAGCCUGAUGCAGCGACGCCGCGUGAGGGAUGGAGGCCUUCGGGUUGUGAACCUCUUUCGCCAGUGAAGCAGGCCUGCCUCGUUUGUGGGUGGGUUGACGGUAGCUGGAUAAGAAGCGCCGGCUAACUACGUG